rnacentral:tRNA from 1 species
AAGAGAAUAAUUACUUACACCGAAAGCUCCCAAAGCCUUCAUUCUUCUUAAACUACCUCUUGAA